rnacentral:lncRNA from 1 species
CCUGGCAACUUAGAAGGAGCCCAAACUAAUCCAUCCCCUGAGAGGAGGGGAGAGGAAGGGCAUCAGAAUGGUCUAGUGAAUUUAAAUACCUGACAUUGUGGAACAGUUUCAAUGACAUACUUAGUUUUAAACUAAAUUGGAAGUCAUAAGCAUAAAAAAGAGGCUCCAAAAUCAUUUGAGACAGCCUUAUCCUUAUUAAUAAUCCAGUUAAAAGAUCACCCCACUGGUUUUUUAGAAGUUAUGUCAGAUGGCCUUUUAUUUCCAUAUUGAAUUCAAACUUGCUAAGUAAAAUUUAUGGCAUUUCCUUCAAUGAUAGCAUCUGGGUCAAAACCCAAGAACAGUCUUAAAACAUGAAAAAGAGGAAGUGUGCAAGGGAGACGUUGCCACCUCAAAGACUUUCCCUGCCUCUCAGCUCCUACUCCCAGGCUGCUGCCUCCAAGAGGCCAAAUCCUCCUUCCCAGAAAGACAAGAGUUUUCAACACAUAACUGGUCACAUGACUACGAAGACCAGUCAUCUCCAUUUGAGUCCCCCGGAAGUAUAGAGUGCUCAAUCCUUCAAAGCCCUGAACAGAGCUAGUGAUGUGCUCCUGCAGAGUCCUGCCACCCCUGCAACCCGGCAGGGCUGGCAGAGAAUUCCUGUUUGAGUUAGAGGGAGCUUAGGAGAAGACUGGACAGCAGCAAUGGCCAGGUUCCCAUACCUCAGAUCCUCGAAGGCCUUCAUGGUACGAGGAAGCACAGAGAGCCUAUGCUGGUGAAAAUCUUAGCUAACCACCCAAAAGUGAAGGAAGAAUGUAUCAUUAGUCACUCCAAGAAAGAUAACCUGAGUAGAGGAGGAAAAGAAGAUGUGUGUCAGUCAAGGAGUAUAAGGGAUAUCAUAAUCUUGCAAAUUUCUGGUAUUGCUAGUUAAAAAUAAAGAAUGAUUCAGAUGUUUUCCUUAUGCAUUCAUGUCUUCUCCUCGGUCCAAAUCAUUAUUUUAAUUGAUUAUGCUUUAAUUAUAACAUCAAUGUUCGUUAAAUCUUAAGGUUGCUGACUAGAAAAUAAUUAUAUCCCCCCCACCAGAGCCUUGCUAGUUGUGAACUGUCACGUGACCCAUCUCACCCCUCUGCUAGAUACCUUAAUGUUGUUUACAUUUCUUUUUUACUGCCUCAUCAUAUUACCAGUUCAGACAAAAAUAAAAUGAGUGACUAACACAUCCCACAUUAUAAAUUUACCAUAUAAAAGAUUAAACACUGUGACAGCUAAACCAACAGUUAGGUUUUUGUGUUCUUCUACCUUUUGUAAGACAUCUACAGAAUGUUUCAGAUGGAAUUUUUAGGAUUUCCAUUAAAGCUCUAGGAAACUAUCCUACAUCGCCAUCUGUACUAUCUACAUCUAGGAAUAAAACAGCAUACAAGUAAAUGUUAGAACUUUAAACCUCAUUUAAGGGUUUUCCUAUUGC